rnacentral:rRNA from 1 species
UUCCUAGGCUCAGAUUGAACGACUGGCGGCAUGCCUUACACAUGCAAGUCGAACGGUAACAGGUCUUCGGAUGCUGACGAGUGGCAACGGGUGAGUAAUACAUCGGAACGUGCCUAGUAGUGGGGGAUAACUACUCGAAAGAGUAGCUAAUACCGCAUGAGAUCUACGGAUGAAAGCAGGGGAUCGCAAGACCUUGUGCUACUAGAGCGGCUGAUGGCAGAUUAGGUAGUUGGUGGGAUAAAAGCUUACCAAGCCGACGAUCUGUAGCUGGUCUGAGAGGACGAUCAGCCACACUGGGACUGAGACACGGCCCAGACUUCUACGGGAGGCAGCAGUGGGGAAUUUUGGACAAUGGGCGAAAGCCUGAUCCAGCAAUGCCGCGUGCAGGAUGAAGGCCUUCGGGUUGUAAACUGCUUUUGUACGGAACGAAAAGCUUUGGGUUAAUACCCUGGAGUCAUGACGGUACCGUAAGAAUAAGCACCGGCUAACUACGUG